rnacentral:rRNA from 1 species
AUUGAACGCUGGCGGCAGGCCUAACACAUGCAAGUCGAACGAGUGGCGGACGGGUGAGUAAUGUCUGGGAAACUGCCUGAUGGAGGGGGAUAACUACUGGAAACGGUAGCUAAUACCGCAUACCAUCGGAUGUGCCCAGAUGGGAUUAGCUAGUAGGUGGGGUAAAGGCUCACCUAGGCGACGAUCCCUCGCUGGUCUGAGAGGAUGACAGGCCCCAUGGGAACUGAGACACGGCCCAGACGCCUACGGGGGGCAGCAGUGGGGAAUCUUGCACAAUGGGAGCAAGCCUGAUGCAGCCAUGCCGGGUGUAUGAAGAAGGCCUUCGGGUUGUAAAGUACUUUCAGCGGGGAGGCGUUACCCGCAGAAGAAGCACCGGCUAACUCCGUGCCAGCAGCCGCGGUAAUAC